GAGAGAAUCAGACUUCUUCAUAAAAAUCCAAGUUUAAGUCACAUGAACAUCUUGACUGAAUGCCGCAAAGUAGUUGAUCUGUUUGACAAUUGAAGCUUAUCUCUUUUUUUUUUCGGUAUAAAGAACUUGUUCUUGCAGCUCUACAUGAUCCACUCAAGUUUAGCAAGUAGGAUAUCAUCAGAAAGAUACAUCUUCUUGCUCUUCUUUCUUGGUUUAUGAUGUCGGGGUUCUUCGCGCACUCUGCAACCGCAACCAGGAGUGGCACAACCGAAGUAUCAGCUACAUUCACUUGAAUGGCCAAGCGAAACCCUCAGCAAGCUGGAGCUCGUUGCACUAGCCCUCCUGGAGUUAGAAGAAAAACCCAGCCCGAAGGCUCAAGAGCUGAUGAUCUAAGUUCUCAACAGUUUGGCUGCCUCGUGUGGCAGUAUCAACAAUUACUCCAAUCAAGAAGGCAAUUCCCCAUCAACAUUGACGAUGAUCAAAAGAUCGGGGAGCAACUGUAUGAACUACAACGGCAAGCAGCAGCAGAAGCACACAGAGCACUUCAGCAGCUUCAGCUGCUACACUCCAUGAAGAGACAAGAGUGCCAACGAAGAAGUACAUUUGACAACUGGUGGGGUGAUUGGUAUCCAGCCACCAAGCAAGUGGACGAACAGCUGGAUACAGCGGUGCGGCUAGUGCAAGACGUGACCAGAAGGAUGGAGUUCUUCCACCUGUAAAGACCUUGCGGAAGUGGUGAACCCGCAAAGAAUCUUGUACCAAACCCACUAGUUUAUAUUUCCUAUCUAGUACAGCAAUAAUGGAUUGCAAGCUGUAAAGCAUACCAAAUGACUCAAAAGAAGAUGCUUUCUUAUCUCAAGGCAUUAGGAGCACAUGAUGAUGGAGCCCAAUGAGCACCCAGCGUCUCCACUGACCUUCUAUAUAAGAAAGACCUUCUUUCCUUUAGCAGAGCAUUCAAGCCAUACUUGAGCUCUACUUGGAAAGUUUUCUGUACUGAAGUAGUCUUGCAACUUAAUAGAAUCUGUGAGUUCUCAUCCUUUCUCCUUAUUUCUAUUAGCUUGCAUCUUCAUAUAUCCCUAUACACUACUUCGCUUUUUAGCUCACUCAAGGCCCUAAACCAACCUGUGGCCACGCUUGCUGUGGAGAAAAUUGCUGCAAACAAGUCCCUCCUCCAGCAGCGAAGCCAUCUCCCUGAUAAAAAAUUCACAAUGUUCAGAUACACAAUCUAAGAUAAUAUAACUAGAAGGCGACAACCAAGUGAAGAAUAUAGUUUUCUUCUGUUUAUUCUAUCAAAAAGGUAGUCAGGUUAGUAAUCUCACUGUGAAUGUCAUGGCAACAGUUGAAGACCCUUUCUUCAGUGUACUAAAAUGUAUGUUGCAAAGGAAUAAAAAUGUUUGCUUGUUGUAACA